GAUGAACGCUGGCGGCGUGCCUAAUACAUGCAAGUCGAACGCUGAAGGAGGAGCUUGCUCUUCUGGAUGAGUUGCGAACGGGUGAGUAACGCGUAGGUAACCUGCCUGGUAGCGGGGGAUAACUAUUGGAAACGAUAGCUAAUACCGCAUGACAACAGUUAUUGCAUGAUAACUGUUUAAAAGGGGCAACUGCUCCACUACCAGAUGGACCUGCGUUGUAUUAGCUAGUUGGUGAGGUAACGGCUCACCAAGGCGACGAUACAUAGCCGACCUGAGAGGGUGAUCGGCCACACUGGGACUGAGACACGGCCCAGACGCCUACGGGAGGCGGCAGUAGGGAAUCGUCGGCAAUGGACGGAAGUCUGACCGAGCAACGCCGCGUGAGUGAAGAAGGUUUUCGGAUCGUAAAGCUCUGUUGUAAGAGAAGAACGAGUGUGAGAGUGGAAAGUUCACACUGUGACGGUAUCUUACCAGAAAGGGACGGCUAACUACGUG
rnacentral:rRNA from 1 species